rnacentral:rRNA from 1 species
UACGGAGGGUGCAAGCGUUAUCCGGAUUUACUGGGUUUAAAGGGUGCGUAGGUGGAUUGGUAAGUCAGUGGUGAAAUACUUUCGCUUAACGAAGGAACUGCCAUUGAUACUACCAGUCUUGAAUACAGUGGAGGUAGGCGGAAUGCGUCAUGUAGCGGUGAAAUGCUUAGAUAUGACGCAGAACACCAAUUGCGAAGGCAGCUUGCUACACUGUUAUUGACACUGAGGCACGGAAAGCGUGGGGAUCAAACAGG